AGCGGCGAACGGGUGAGUAACACGUGAGCAACCUGCCCCUGACUCCGGGAUAAGCGGUGGAAACGCCGUCUAAUACCGGAUACGACCCGCCACCUCAUGGUGGAGGGUGGAAAGUUUUAUCGGUCAGGGAUGGGCUCGCGGCCUAUCAGCUUGUUGGUGGGGUAACGGCCUACCAAGGCGAUUACGGGUAGCCGGCCUGAGAGGGCGACCGGCCACACUGGGACUGAGACACGGCCCAGACUCCUGCGGGAGGCAGCAGUGGGGAAUAUUGCACAAUGGGCGAAAGCCUGAUGCAGCGACGCCGCGUGGGGGAUGACGGCCUUCGGGUUGUAAACCUCUUUUACCACCAACGCAGGCUCCACGUUCUCGUGGGGUUGACGGUAGGUGGGGAAUAAGGACCGGCUAACUACGUGCCAGCAGCCGCGGUAAUACGUAGGGUCCGAGCGUUGUCCGGAAUUAUUGGGCGUAAAGAGCUCGUAGGCGGCAUGUCGCGUCUGCUGUGAAAGACCGGGGCUUAACUCCGGUUCUGCAGUGGAUACGGGCAUGCUAGA
rnacentral:rRNA from 1 species